AAUGAACGUUGGCGGCGUGGAUUAGGCAUGCAAGUCGAGCGAGAAUUGUAGCAAUACAAGGAAAGCGGCGAACGGGAGAGUAACGCGUGGAGCACCUGCCCUUGGAUCCGGGAUAGCCACGGGAAACUGUGGGUAAUACCGGAUGACGUCUCCGGACUAAAGGUGUGAUUCCGUCUAAGGAUGGCUCCGCGUCCUAUCAGCUUGUUGGUGAGGUAACGGCUCACCAAGGCUACGAUGGGUACCGGGUGUGAGAGCACGACCCGGCUCACUGGGACUGAGACACUGCCCAGACACCUACGGGUGGCAG
rnacentral:rRNA from 1 species